GUGAAUUUUGUGGCCUCCAAGGCCUCACGUUCUCUAUCCUUUACACACCUGUGCACCCUUCUGAAGCGGAGAGUCAUUAGGCAUUAGCCGAGCGCCUCCCUUCGGUCAUUAUAUCAACUUUGAACUACGUUUGCUAGAAUGUGUGCCGUCUUGUUGUAACGACAAGUACAAUCCGAUA
rnacentral:misc_RNA from 1 species